UUUUUUUUUUUUUUUUUUUUUUUUUUUUUGGCCAGCAUAUGGAAGCCCCCAGACCAGGAAUCAACUCUGAGCUGCAGCAGCAACCUAAGCCACAGCUUUGGCAACGCCAGAUCCUUAACCCACUACACCAGGCAGGGGAAUGAAGCAGUGCCUCAGCAGUGACAGGAGCUGCAGCAGAGACGAUGCCAGAUCCUCAACCAGCUGUGCCACAGGAGAAACUCCUGGACAGUGUUUUAACACCUAAAAAGCAGUGCUCAGUGAAUUACUUGAUUCAAGACAAAAAAAAAAAAAAAAGGCACACCUGUAGAAACACAAUAUAUAUGGCUCCCCCUAAGAAGCAAUGUUAUUAAGUCCUAUAACAGAUCUAUAUUUGAACAAAGAAAAGGGAGGGGGGAUUUGUAUGAUUAUAGGAGUUCUGAUUACCUUUUUUUUUAAUUUUGGCUACUUGUUAAUAAAAUACAACUGGGCUCUGGCCUGAGGAUCAAUAGAAGCAUUUUCCCUGCCACCUUUUCUACUAUUCUCCUCAUUUUACAAGUAAUUUAUUAAAGACUCAAUCUACUAACCCUCCUGUCAGGCAAGAAUUGUGAUUAUUUAAAUUAUGUUAGGUAAACUAUAAUGCUCUCCAUUUGCAGGGCUUCCACAGUGUCAUAGCCAUCCCACACCAGGGGAAAUAAACAUAAUUUUAAACACUUCCUAGGAGUUCCCGCUGUGGUGCAAUGGAAACAAUCCGACUAGGAACCACGAGGCUGUGGGUUUCAUCCCCGGCCUCGCUCAGUGGGUUAAGGAUCCAGGGUUGCUGUGAGCUGUGGCGUAGGUCGAAGAUUCGGCUCGGGUCUGGCGUUGCUGUGGCUCUGUAGUAGCUCCAAUUAGACCCCUCCCCUGGGAACCUCCAUAUGCUGCAGGUGUGGCCCUAAAAGACAAAAACAAACAAACAAACAAAAAAACAUUUCCUAACACAAAGCUCACCAAAUACAAACUCCUGCCUGUAUACACUCAUUACAUGUAACAUAUAUUCUGAAAUAAUUUUUAACAGCUUUAACUCCCCCCCAAACUUAUUCAUCCAGAUAUAGAAACCAACAGAAGAAGAAUGACACUCCAUAUACUCUGGGGAGGGGGGGAGUGUUUGUUCGUUUGCUUGCUUUUUUAGGGCCAUACCUGUAACAUAUGGAAGUUCCCAGGUGAGGGGUCAAAUAAGAGCUACAGCUGCCAGGCUACACACAGCCACAGCAACAUGGGAUCCUCACCACGUCUAUAACCUACACCACAGCUCAUGGCAACGCUGGAUCCUUAACCCACUGAGUGAGGCCACAGAUCAAAUCCGCAUCCUCAGGGAUACUAGUUGGGUUUGUUCCCGCUGAGCCAUGACAGGAACUCCCGUAUAUUCUAGUUUUGGUGCUAGACCUUUGACUUUUCAAGUUUCACUUUUAGGAAUCCCUUCUCUGUAGGGAUUCAUGAGAGAUAUGUAUUUGGCACUAACCCUUGUUUCUCUAAAUCUGUCCCCAGACCCUUCUUAGCAGUGAGCAAAUAAAGCUUUGGGAUUUAAGCUCCUUGCAAUCCAUCAAUUAGUUAAUCUGGAUAACAGCCCUAGGUCAGUGUCAGAUCUCCUUAUAGCAGAUGUGAAGACAUAUAUGGGGAAAAAAUGACUUUGUCCAAGGUCAUGAUGGAGCUAGAUUCAAGAUUCUGCUCACUUAUUUUUAAAACUCUAGAAAUACAGACUCCUUUUACAUAAUAGAAAAAAUAAAAAUCCACAUACACACCCCUUGAUGAAGAUUAUUUUUAUCCCCGCAAAAUAGUUCUCAAAUUUUACAUGUGCUGUAAGAUAACAGAUUCCCAAGUGAAAUGGAAUCAAGUUCAAAACGGCCAUUUGUUAUGCGAUCUUCUGUGCAGUGAUGUUUAACACAGUUCUGAAAAACUAAGUUAUUAUUUUGGGGAGGAGAGCUCUUGGAUUUUAAGGAGGUAUUGACAGGAAAUAUUUUUCAAUGGCCUGACUUUUAAAUUGCUCCUUUUGAACAUUUGAUGCCACUCAAAUGUUAAUUAGCAAUUCUGCUGAAAAAGAAACUGCAUCAUGGAGGCUGGAAGUCAAACUACCAUCUUUACAGAAAAGUGAACCUAAUAACAUUCUGACCAGCAACUCAUUAGAUGCUUUGACUCUCAAUUCCUUCAAACUCCUUUUCCAGAAGGGACUUCAUUCCAACUGACUCCCAGCUAGGUCUGCUGAGGUAAAGUCUGUCAGACAGGAAGAUGGGCCCGGGCAGGAAAGGAAUGACAUGGCAACAUCUACCACCCCACACCUCUGUGUCCAGGAGCUUGGCCUGAAGGUGGUCAAUUUUCUGCACAGCUUCCAACAAAUGAAUAACAAAGCAACAAAGCCACUGAAAAAAAACUGAGAAAUACAAUCCCCAUUCUGAUCAGGCAAAGUGACCAUCUUUCACCAAAGGCAAAAAACCUCGCUCCUAAUUGCCCAAAUCUCACUAACACUGAAUAAGACAAAAGCUAAACCAAGCUGUUCUCUACAACUGAGGUCACUAGUUCACUCUCAACUUCAAUGCUGCUACUCUCACUUACACCCAGGAAAAUAGGUAAAGAGGCUAUAUUUCCUCUCUGCUUUUGUGUAUGCUUGAAUUAUUUUCAUAAUAAAAAUUUUCCUUUAGGAGUUCCCGUCGUGGCGCAGUGGUUAACGAUCCCUCACAAUUUAUUUUAAAAUCCAGUUAUUAGUUUCUCAAACUUUAAGUGAUCUAAAGUAAAUGAGAGUGGCCCAGUGAUAUGGCUUUGCAAAGUAUCACUCUACGGACCCACUCACCCCCCAGGGAGCAGGGACUCAUCCCUGUGCUCCCAGUGACUCCUCAAGGGACCCAAACUUAGAAAUUUCAGAAGGAAAGUAGAACCAGCCCUUCGGCUGUCAACACGUAUGCCACCUAAUUAAUUUUAUUUAUUUAUUUUUUUGAAGCUGCGAUGAUCUUCUGCACUUAAAACAGGUAUAGCAACAUUAUCUCCAGAGAAUAUCUAAUUCUCUUGGAAAGGAAAAAUCACACCAGCAGCUCAAUGCAAGGAUUGCACAAUGAGGAAAGCAAGGUCUUUCUAGGUUACCAGUUUUUAAACCCAUAGACAGCCUGUGCAAAGAGGUACACAUGUAGGCUUCGUGGAACCUAAAUCCAGGAACCUAAUCAAUUAGCACUUUCAUUGUGGGGCAUGAGCUCUCCCUCUAUCCUUUUCUAUAGCCAAACUUUAAUGUGGUCCAGUUAUAACAGCGAGAGGUUGCAAAAGCCUACAAAAAGAUCCCAUUUACAGCACAUAAACCACGUUUGUUUUUUUUUAAGUCACAUAGCUUAUAAUGAUAUUUUUUGCCUGGCAGAAUUCUACCUGCCGAUAUUAAAGUAUCCUAAACAUCCCGGACCUUGUUACUGUCUCCUAAAUUAAAUAAGUAAACAAGUUUACUACUGAUCUAUCAAUCAGAAAGACAUUUAAGUACCUUAGGGACAAAAAAAUGAAACAAUAACAAACUCGACCCCUGAGCUUUAAUUCAGAACAUUUAUUAACACUUUUCAAAAACAAUUCUGUAUUCAUUUUGUUCUUUAAACAGGUUUAUACUGGAGGGUUAAAAAACCAAUCCUAUAACCACACGAAGGGAAGCUUCUCCAAUGGUGGUGGGGAUGUGAAUCUUUAGCUGCCUCAUAAACGUGUAUGUAAACUCACUCACAUUCCAUUCUAAGAGUCUAAUCAACUUGUUCAUUAGUUCACUACGAGUUACAGCUAUAUGGAUGUCUGUGGCUCCUAGUGUGACCAAUUUAUACCAAUGGCAAAGUCAAAUUUAGCUAAAUACCCAUUCAAAGACUACAACAAAUGAAGCUUGUUUUUAAGGCAACAUGUUCAAACUAAAACUGUAGGACUUAACACAGCCUCCUACAAAGUAAGAAAUAAAAAGCUUUUCUUUUGAGCAGUAUAAUCCUGUAUUUGUCUUAAAAAGUAGUUACAAUUGGGUACAGGGUUUCUUUUGGGGGUGAUGAAAAUGUCCUAAUGUUGAUUGUGGUGAUGGUUUUAAAACUCCGUAAAAAUACUAAAAACUACUAAAUUUCACACUUUAAAUUGUAUAGUAUAUGAAUGAUAUCUCAAUAAAACUGUGUUGGAUUUGUUUUUUCUUCCCCUGCACUUGCAGCAUAUGGACGUUCCCCGACCAGGGAUAAAACCCUGGCCACCCUGGCCUCCACAGCAACCUGAGGCACUGCAGUGGGAACUGCAAGCAGUAAUCUUUUAAAAGUAAUUACAGGAAUUCCCAUUGUGGCACAGCAGGAACAAAUCCAACUAGUUAGUAUCUGUGAGAAUAUGGGUUUGAUCCCUGGCCUCACUCAGUGGGUCAGGGAUCCGGUGUUGCCAUGAGCUGCGGUGUGGCCUGGCACGCACAUUGCAGUGGCUGUGGUGUAGGCUGGCACCUGUAGCUCCAAUUUGACCUCUAGCCUGAGAACUUCCAUAUGCCAUGGGUGUGGCCCUAAAAAAAAAAAAAAAAGUAAUUAUAAAUCGUUCCUUGGUUUAAGGAUGUUUCUAUUGAUAAGCUUUUUCUCCAGAUGAUAACAUUUAUUUUAAGGUGGCAAGGAAUCAUAACUAGAGAAAAACUGCUUGAUACCAAAGAAAAUGGGAAAACAACAGAAAAGAUUAGGCCAAAGUCAAGCAACCCUAACACAGGGAGAAUGUAGGGUCCGUGUCAUUAACAACUCCACCAUACAAAGAAAUGUUCCUAAGGGUGGAACCAACAGGCUCACUCAAAGAUGCUGUUACUAAAACAUUUAAAAGUUUCACACUUUGGCUAUAAAGCAUAAAAACAAAAAGGCUCAAAAUAAUGAUGACUGUAAGUCAAAGUUGAAAAAUGUGUCCCUACCAUGCCAUCUGGGAUUUGACUUAACUCCCUGACUUCUGGACACCACCAGAGAGGAAAUGUGUGGAAUCUGCCUAUUUAUGGCCAAAUAUUCUAUUUUCGAGGGCAACAAAGCCAUCAAAUAUACACCAAUCAAACUUGGGAGAUGAAGAAAAGUAUUUACUGAGCAGCCAACUAUUUUUUGCCUAAAAUUAACCAUCUCCAAAUACCACAAAGUGAUAUGGAAAAUACAAUUUGUCCUUAAAAGAAAUCUAUGUACAUCAAGGAGGAUAUGAAAAUCUGCAUUUGAAAGAUACCAAAACCAGAAGAUUAGUUGUAAAUUUUAAAAAAGAAGAAAAAAGCCCAGGAAGCAAACCUAGUUCUCCUACAUACUUGAUGUAACUUGAAAAGAGAUUUACCUCCCUCUUUAAACUUAUAACUCAGCAUUUGAGUACAUCUUCCUGACUUAUUACCUUUUAUCACAUAUCUUCACAAAGAAAUUUCUGUAAACCUAAAGUUUUCAGUAGCAAGUUCAGAACCAUCACUGGGAAGCACCUAUAAACUGAGGCUUUGUAACUACCAUUAAUUAAAGAUGCAAAGGUAAGGAAAAAAGGAAAUAGAAAUGCUUCCUAAAUCCUUCCCUUACUUCCAAGAAAUAAAAUGCCAAUAGACUCAAUCCUCAUUUUUAACACAGCCACUUGUAUUCCAAAAACUUACUGGUCGUAAAUCAUCUAGAAAUACAGGCAUGAUAUAGCCAUUGCCACUGAAAAUAUUUCCUAUCGAGUUUUUUUGUUGCUUUAUUUCAACUAUAUGAAACCACUUGUUCAGUUAGCUUUCUAAAACAAAACUGUUUCUAAAACAAAGACUGUUUACAUCUCCAUCUCUUAAGAAUCCUUUGUUCCAACAAGACCCUUCUUCAAGAGCUACAACUUCUGGAAAGAUUUCCCUUUUUGUGGUUAUAUCAACAAUAAAUACUGCCAAACUCUUUCCAAUUGGCAAAGGAGUUUGUUAAACAAAGGAGGAAGCAAGCCUCCUCCACACAAAGGCGGUCUCCAAAACAGGGCACUGGUUAGGUUUGUGGAUUAUUUAUUUGUGCCUCUUUAAUACUCUUCCUCAGGCUGUAGUAUGUACUACUCUCAAUACAAAAUGGUGGCCAUCAUGUCUCUGACACUCAGAAUGGGGAAAGGCAGCAAGAUCACACAUUUCGUCAUGCUUACCAUAAUAUCCUAGCCAAGAAAGGAAAUGAGUAGCCAGACCUCUCCAGAGUAACACUACAUUUUGGGGGAAAGAGCCCUGCAAAAAGCAUGGGAUAAGAAAGUAGAUAAAGCCCUAGUCCACCACAAUACCAACAUGGACGACAACUCACUCCCAGCAACCUGACUGCACACAUUUGGGCCACCGAAAACUCACUAAGGUUGCCUAGUGUCUGCAUAAAACCCCGCUGAUGCAAAUAUAGAAUAUUCACAGUCACC
rnacentral:lncRNA from 1 species